UACGCCUGUUAUUCGUACUUUUCCCAAGACUGCCAGUCCAUUGCGCUAUCACUCGGUCCUCUCGACUACCACCACAUGACGGGACACCACAAACUCUUUGCAACAUUCCAGCACAAUAUCAGCUCUGAACUUAAACACCUUUUUUCCGACCGAGUACAAAACUCGAGAUGGAUUUCGAACAAAUCGUCAGACCAGUUACAUAUCGAGAUAGCUGUUCCUGGAUUUGGAUGUCAAUCUGAUCUAAGUCUACGUCUAAAUUGGUAAAAGAAGCGGAGAGAGAAUGUGUGCUCCCUCCUCGUCACAAACCUGCAAGGUCUUGGACUGCGCUGUCGCUCCGGUAGUCCAGAUAAUAAUGGAAAAUGGAAGUAAGGCCCCCAAAGCCAUCGGGAUGACUCCAGAGGGGGCCCCUAACCCGCAGGGAGUCGCUCUGUACGUAAUCACUGAGGAAAUCAUUGUCAGCCUGCCUGCACUCACACACAGACAGAGAGGCAUGAUUAAAAAUCCGUGGGACUCCAGCAAAAUGCGGACUCCUGGAUCCCGUCUUGCGGACGGAUCUGGAGUCAGUCUCGGGUAAACCGAGUCGCGCUCGCUCUUGGUCUUCGGCAGAGUGAUAGUCCCCCUUCUGGCAGGAGCGAUUAGGGAGAAGAUUUCGGCGGUGUCGCAGUUGCUGUUAUGGGGCAAAGCACCUGCAGGGAAACUGAGAUGACCGACUGGAAUACGGCAACCGUGUGAUUCACAACAGGGGACAGUUUAUGACCCUGACCAGAAACAAUCAUUUGUUUUUUUUUCUAUUCUUUUGUGCGUAAUUGCAUGAUUGUUAGUGUUGGAAAACUAUUGGGAAGCCAAGCCAUAUAAUUGCAUAUAACUUGUUUUGACAUUAACAUGGUAAUCUUUGGGAAGAAGAAAUGUGACAUUUGCCUAAUUAUAACCUAUUAUGUUGAAAUAUCAUGGAAAAUAUAGCAAGCUUCUGUAAGGAGACUUAGGCACAACUUAAAAUGUGCUUUCUCAUAAGAAUACCAGCUAUUAAGAUCAGCUAUUACUCUUACAUUAGACGAAUAUCAGAUUGAAUUCCUUAGCUGAAUUGGAAUGGAAAGUACCUAAACUUUACUUCAAACCAACAAGUCACUCAAGAUGUAUUCAGUAGCCUAUAGGGCCAUCUGAAAUCUGACCACCUGAACAUAUUAACAGUUAACAGAUCCCACUUUUUCAAACUAAGUAAUAGACAUGCUCCACAAAAGCAGUGGUGUCUUAUGAAGAAGUCAUUUAUAUUUAUGGCCACCAGUUCCUCUUGGUACUUCACUCCUCUGCCAGCUAGAGGUCAUGAUAGCCUCUUUGUCAAGUCCCUUCUCAAACAAGUACCCCCUUUGCACCACCUUAAUCAUCUAAAUUGAUAAAGUAAUUGCCACUAAUUAGGCUCAGAUAAUGAUUGACAGCUCUGUUUACAAGCAACACGUGUUAAAUUCAGUUUGAGUACUUACUACCCUGGACAUGCUGCAGUAUUCUUAAGUGCUGUGCAACACAAAAUUGUUACUGUAGAUUAAAACACAAGUGUAACAUGAAAGUACUAGAAGAUCAAGGUAUAAGGAUGCAAGUGACAAGACAGUGAUCCGAGACUGGGAGUAACCCUGUGGAGGAGUACUGUUAGAGUAAGUCAAGGUACAGCCUGAAGAGAUACGUCUUCAGUCCACAGCGAAAAAUGGGCAAUGACUGAGUGGUUCGCAGAGGAAUGGGAAGUUCCUUCCACCAUUGGGGAGCUAGGGUGGAGAGGCUCCAUGGUCGGGAUGAGCUUCAUUCACGUGGAUGGCAGGGAGUGCAAAUGGCUUCACAGGUCUUUCUGAUUUAUCAGGUGUGUUCAAUUGCUUCCUUAGUGCUGGUUUAGAAGAGCUUUCAGUAUCUUGACUUGUUUCUAGGCUUUUGAUUGGCUUUGAAAUGUGUUAUUGGGGUUUGUCAAUAUGAGGAAUAGAAUUGUACCAGUGAAGUCAAAGAAGCCAUUGCUGCAUGAGGCGGAGAAAUAAGAAAAAAAUUCUGAGACAUAGGCCAAACCUUAGGCUUACCAAAAUCAACUGUUUGCAACAUCAUUAAGAAUAAAGAGUGCUGGUGAGCUGAGUAAUCACAAAGGGCAUGGUAGGCCAAGGAAGACCUCUGCAGUUGAUGACCGAAGGAUUCUCACUGUAAUGAAGAAAAACCCCAUACACCUGUCCGACAGAUCAGAAACUUUCUUUAGAAAGCAGAAAUGGAUGUGUCAGUGACUACUGUCUGCAGAAUACUUCACAAACAGAACUACACAGGCUACACGGCAAGGUGCAACCCACUAGUUAGCCACAUAAAACAGGAUGGCCAGAUUACAAUUUGCUAAAACGUACCUAAAAGAAUCAGCAGACUUCUGUCUUGUGGAGAGAUAAGACCAAGAUUCACUUGUAUCAAAGUGUUGGCAAGAGCAAAGUGUUGAGGCUAAAAGGAAAUGCCAAAGAUCCGCAGGUGUUAUGGUUUGGGCAUGUACGGCUGUCACAGGUACUGGCUCACUUGCCUUCACUGAUGAUGUAACUGCUGAUAGCAGCA